GCUGCACUUCAUUCAGUGACGAAAGGAAGACGUGAUGAGAUGGGACAACCAGGUUUUGAGAGAAUGCUUGACUUGGCAUAAGACCAAUUUUAUUAGCCAAGAAUGACAAGACACAUUGAACAGAGGUGUCAGACUUGUGAGAAGUAUAUAAAAUAGGAUUCCAAAGCAGAGAGGGCAGUUGAACGAAUGAAGAAAGUGACCUCUGCUCUGAAGUCAGCUUGUGCACUUAGUUUCUGUCCCUGGAAUCAGACACAGUGAGAAUCAGAAACAUUUCCUUAAUACAGCAAAGUAAUCACAACAUGAUGCCCAAGAAAGAGACUGGCACCACAUGGAACAUUCUAUAAGUGUGAGGCCAUCUUGACCCAGCCUCCUUUGCUUUGGAAUUUCUAAACAUGUCAGGAAAUUUGUUGAUCUACCCCCUCCAAGUGUUUGGAUCUCGGAAGGCAGACCAGUCUUAUUCCUACUGACACUCUCCAAGCACCUCCUCCCAACUUCAGGACCAGCUUUUAUAGCACUGUGGUGUAAUUUUUAAGAGCACAAAAUGGAGAUAAAUCAAAGUGGUCCAAUACCAACACCAUGAAUUACAAGCUGUGUAAUCUUGAGUAAAUUACUUAACCUCUCUGAGC
rnacentral:lncRNA from 1 species